rnacentral:rRNA from 1 species
GGGAGGCAGCAGUGGGGAAUAUUGCACAAUGGGCGCAAGCCUGAUGCAGCCAUGCCGCGUGUAUGAAGAAGGCCUUCGGGUUGUAAAGUACUUUCAGCGGGGAGGAAGGUGAUAAGGUUAAUAACCUUGUCGAUUGACGUUACCCGCAGAAGAAGCACCGGCUAACUCCGUGCCAGCAGCCGCGGUAAUACGGAGGGUGCAAGCGUUAAUCGGAAUUACUG